rnacentral:rRNA from 1 species
CCUACGGGGGGCAGCAGUGAGGAAUAUUGGUCAAUGGCCGAGAGGCUGAACCAGCCAAGUCGCGUGAGGGAAGACGGCCCUACGGGUUGUAAACCUCUUUUGUCGGGGAGUAAAGCGAACCACGUGUGGUUCAUUGAGAGUACCCGAAGAAAAAGCAUCGGCUAACUCCGUGCCAGCAGCCGCGGUAAUACGGGGGAUGCGAGCGUUAUCCGGAUUUAUUGGGUUUAAAGGGUGCGCAGGCGGUGUUGCAAGUCAGCGGUCAAAUUUCGGGGCUCAACCCCGUACUGCCGUUGAAACUGCAUCCCUUGAGUGCGCGAGAAGUAUGCGGAAUGCGUGGUGUAGCGGUGAAAUGCAUAGAUAUCACGCAGAACUCCGAUUGCGAAGGCAGCAUACCGGCGCGCAACUGACGCUCAUGCACGAAAGCGUGGGUAUCGAACAGGAUUAGAUACCCUGGUAGUC